GCGAUCAUAGCUCAGCUGGUUAGAGUGCCGGAUUGUGGUUCCGAAGGUCGUGGGUUCGAAUCCCACUGGUCGCC
rnacentral:tRNA from 1 species